UUUUAUUACUCAGACUAUCAGUACGUACGCUGCGUGCGAUCCAGCCGAGCCCGUCUGGUGGCCCAUGAAAA